rnacentral:rRNA from 1 species
UGACUAAAUAACAGUUAAAACUUAGGGUAGAACUCCGGCUGGGCUGUAAAAAGCCAUAAGCCACACUAAUCCCCACCCCUAACACCACACAACUUUGACUCAUGAAAGCUAGGAUACAAACUAAGAUUAGAUACCCUACUAUGCCUAGCCGUAACACACAAUUAAAUCACCAAUUGUUCGCCAAACAACUACGAGCCAUACUUGAAACUUAAAAGACUUGACGGUACUUCAUCACGACCUAGAGGAGCCUGUCUAAUAACCGACAAUCCACGAUUAACCCAACCCCUUCUUGCCCAACAGUCUAUAUACCGCCGUCGCCAGCUUACCUUGUGAAAGAAAUAAAGUGAGCUAAAUAAUACAACAUUAAAACGACAGGUCGAGGUGUAACCUAUGAAGGGGCCAAGAUGGGCUACAUUCUCAUUAGAGAAUACGAAUAACACUAUGAAAUUAGUGUUUGAAGGCGGAUUUAGUAGUAAGCUAAGAAUAAAAUACUUAACUGAACAUAACGCAAUGAAGUGCGUACACACCGCCCGUCAUCCCUGCCACCACAAUAUAAACCUUUAUAAACUAACCCAAUAAAUCAAUACAGGGCAAGUCGU